rnacentral:tRNA from 2 species
GGCGGAGCUUCCGGUCUGGUGAACGGUGCGGUCUUCAAAACCGUUGAGUUGGCGCGCGAGCGUCGGCUGGUGGGUUCGAUUCCCAUGCUCCGCCGA